rnacentral:rRNA from 1 species
CUCUGUGACUCCUACGGGAGGCAGCAGUGGGAAUAUUGCACAAUGGGCGCAAGCCUGAUGCAGCCAUGCCGCGUGUGUGAAGAAGGCCUUCGGGUUGUAAAGCACUUUCAGUUGUGAGGAAGGUGGUGUCGUUAAUAGCGGCAUCAUUUGACGUUAGCAACAGAAGAAGCACCGGCUAACUCCGUGCCAGCAGCCGCGGUAAUACGGAGGGUGCGAGCGUUAAUCGGAAUUACUGGGCGUAAAGCGCAUGCAGGCGGCCUGUUAAGUCAGAUGUGAAAGCCCCGGGGCUUAACCUCGGAAUUGCAUUUGAAACUGGCAGGCUAGAGUCUUGUAGAGGGGGUAGAAUUUCAGGUGUAGCGGUGAAAUGCGUAGAGAUCUGAAGGAAUACCAGUGGCGAAGGCGGCCCCCUGGACAAAGACUGACGCUCAGAUGCGAAAGCGUGGGGAGCAAACAGGAUUAGAUACCCUGGUAG